GGUUGACCUCGGAUUAGGUAGGAAUA
rnacentral:rRNA from 6 species